UACGAAGGGUGCAAGCGUUAAUCGGAAUUACUGGGCGUAAAGGGUGCGUAGGUGGUUCGUUAAGUCUGUUGUGAAAGCCCCGGGCUCAACCUGGGAAUGGCAAUGGAUACUGGCAGGCUAGAGUGCGGUAGAGGGUAGUGGAAUUCCCGGUGUAGCGGUGAAAUGCGUAGAGAUCGGGAGGAACACCAGUGGCGAAGGCGGCUACCUGGACCAGCACUGACACUGAGGCACGAAAGCGUGGGGAGCAAACAGG
rnacentral:rRNA from 1 species